rnacentral:rRNA from 1 species
CCCCUAGAUGUUCUGGGCCGCACGCGCGCUACACUGACGGAGUCAACGAGUUGUCCUGCAUCGGAAGGUGUGGGUAAUCUUUUGAAACUUCGUCGUGCUGGGGAUAGAUCUUUGCAAUUUUCGAUCUUGAACGAGGAAUUCCUAGUAAGCGUGAUUCAUCAGAUCGCGUUGAUUACGUCCCUGCCCUUUGUACACACCGCCCGUCGCUACUACCGAUUGAAUGGUUUAGUGAGGCCUCGGGACUGGCGCGCUCGAGUAGCAAUACACCUGCGCGCCGGGAACUUGGUCAAACUUGAUCAUUUAGAGGAAGUAAAAGUCGUAACA